ACGAACGCUGGCGGCGUGCUUAACCCAUGCACGUCGAACGGAAAGGCCCUGCUUUUGUGGGGUGCUCGAGUGGCGAACGGGUGAGUAACACGUGAGUAACCUGCCCUUGACUUUGGGAUAACUUCGGGAAACUGGGGCUAAUACCGGAUAGGAGCUCCUGCUGCAUGGUGGGGGUUGGAAAGUUUCGGCGGUUGGGGAUGGACUCGCGGCUUAUCAGCUUGUUGGUGGGGUAGUGGCUUACCAAGGCUUUGACGGGUAGCCGGCCUGAGAGGGUGACCGGCCACAUUGGGACUGAGAUACGGCCCAGACUCCUACGGGAGGCAGCAGUGGGGAAUAUUGCACAAUGGGCGGAAGCCUGAUGCAGCAACGCCGCGUGCGGGAUGACGGCCUUCGGGUUGUAAACCGCUUUCGCCUGUGACGAAGCGUGAGUGACGGUAAUGGGUAAAGAAGCACCGGCUAACUACGUG
rnacentral:rRNA from 1 species